rnacentral:rRNA from 1 species
AUUGAACGCUGGCGGCAGGCCUAACACAUGCAAGUCGAGCGGAUGAAGGGAGCUUGCUCCUGGAUUCAGCGGCGGACGGGUGAGUAAUGCCUAGGAAUCUGCCUGGUAGUGGGGGAUAACGUCCGGAAACGGGCGCUAAUACCGCAUACGUCCUGAGGGAGAAAGUGGGGGAUCUUCGGACCUCACGCUAUUAGAUGAGCCUAGGUCGGAUUAGCUAGUUGGUGGGGUAAAGGCCUACCAAGGCGACGAUCCGUAACUGGUCUGAGAGGAUGAUCAGUCACACUGGAACUGAGACACGGUCCAGACUCCUACGGGAGGCAGCAGUGGGGAAUAUUGGACAAUGGACGAAAGCCUGAUCCAGCCAUGCCGCGUGUGUGAAGAAGGUCUUCGGAUUGUAAAGCACUUUAAGUUGGGAGGAAGGGCAGUAAGUUAAUACCUUGCUGUUUUGACGUUACCAACAGAAUAAGCACCGGCUAACUUCGUG